CGGUCCUUUUCAACCCAGGCCAUUCUAUAAUUCUAUGAUAGACAUAUAAAAUUAUAAAAGCUAUUCUUAGAGUUUAUCUGUUUUUUCCCUGAAGAUUUAGAUGGAGUAGGAGGGUUGAUAGUUGUUAGGUUCACUUAUGGUUCCCAACUAAGACUUCCAUUUCUCCUCAGCUGUAUAGGUAGUAGUAAUCAAGCUGAGCUCUGAUCGUUUGAUUGGAAUGUUAGUUUAGUUAAGGGUCUAUAUCAAGGAUCAAUAUCAAGAACUGUUCAGCAGCUGAAUUGAUAAGAGUGCUUGAUAAACUUAUGUAGCUAGAUCUUAGUGUCACUUGAUUCCUUACUUUUAGAGAUUUUGACUGGGAAGCUAUGAAAUUCUCAUGAGAUAGCCUUCUCCCUUCCCCACCUCCUUGAUUGCACUUGAAUUAAGGAUGUAGGUUAGGAUUUUUGCAUAAAAUAGGCUCAAAGUUAAUGUUAUGAUACAUUAUGUGAAUGAAACAAUUAUUUGAUAUCUAAGGAUUUCCUUUCUCUUUUUCUUAUAGUUUGAGGGUGGCUCUGGAUAUGACUAUUCUUAUGCAGGGGGCCGUGGUUCGUAUGGAGAUCUUGGUGGGCCCAUCAUCACAACACAAGUAACAAUUCCCAAAGAUUUGGCAGGAUCUAUUAUUGGAAAGGGUGGCCAGAGAAUCAAACAGAUACGACAUGAGUCAGGAGCUUCAAUCAAAAUUGAUGAACCCUUAGAAGGCUCAGAAGACCGAAUAAUAACUAUUACAGGAACACAGGACCAGAUACAAAAUGCACAGUAUUUACUGCAGAAUAGGCAAGUUGAUGAAGCUGAAUGCUGUCCUUGUUGUCAGUUUUAAACUUACUUCCUACUGGACUCUAAAGUUCUUCUCUGUGCUGUAUAUUUAGCAGGCAGGAUUUAAGUAACUGUUGAACUUCUCCAGUAGUAGUUCUGCCUUACUUCUCUUCUGUUCUCCAUUCCAACUAAAAUGAAGACUCUGUAAAAACUAAUCUUGAUGGAAGAUGUCUUAAUCAAGUAGCCCUCUCGUUUCUCUGGUUCAAAUUGCUGCAAAAAAAAAAAAACAAAAAAAAAACCCAAAACAACCUACUUGUAAUAAAUUGCAUAGAACCUGUAGAAAACACAGAAGGUUUCAGUGGACAUUGGUCUAGUUCUGUGUGGAAGACUAGUGAUUUUUGUUGUUUUUAGAUAACUAAAUUGACAACAAAUCACAGUCUACCAUAUGGCACAGACUAUGCCUCUACAGGACAAGUUGAAAUAAAUUGGUGCUGUUAUGCAGCAUUUAACACCUCACUAGCAUUACUUUUUCUUCUCUGCCAAAUAUUGACAAUUUCAGAUUAAAUUUACUUAAUUUUGUUUUAUUAAUAAGUUGGUUAUCAUCGCAUUCGUUAAUAUUCCAUUAGAAUGUUUGACUUCAGAUUACUAGUAUUUAAAUGUACAUAAAAUACUCAUCAACCUAUGAUUAUUAGCCAUUAAUCUUAAAAAGUAUUUACUUUUAAAUGCAUUGAGAGUUUGUAGUUUAAUCUUUAAGAAUGUCAUUGUGAAUAUCAUUUCAAGAUGUGUGG